rnacentral:rRNA from 1 species
CCUACGGGGGACAGCAGUGGGGAAUAUUGGGCAAUGGGCGCAAGCCUGACCCAGCAACGCCGCGUGAAGGAAGAAGGCUUUCGGGUUGUAAACUUCUUUUGUCAGGGAAGAGUAGAAGACGGUACCUGACGAAUAAGCCACGGCUAACUACGUGCCAGCAGCCGCGGUAAUACGUAGGUGGCAAGCGUUGUCCGGAUUUACUGGGUGUAAAGGGCGUGUAGCCGGGUUGACAAGUCAGAUGUGAAAUCCUGCGGCUUAACCGCAGAACUGCAUUUGAAAGUGUGGAUCUUGAGUACUGGAGAGGCAGAUGGAAUUCCUAGUGUAGCGGUGAAAUGCGUAGAUAUUAGGAGGAACACCAGUGGCGAAGGCGGUCUGCUGGACAGCAACUGACGGUGAGGCGCGAAAGCGUGGGGAGCAAACAGGAUUAGAUACCCCAGUAGUC